UGUCUCAGUGGAGACUCGGCUUCGGGAGAGAGAAAGCAGUGGGACUUAGCGCGGGCCGCGCAGGCGCACGGUGGGCAGCUGCAAUGGCGCUGUCGUGUACCCUUAACAGGUAUCUGCUCCUCAUGGCGCAGGAGCAUCUAGAGUUCCGCCUGCCGGAAAUAAAGUCUUUGCUUUCGCUUUUUGGAGGUCAGUUUGCCAGCAGUCAAGAAACUUAUGGAAAGUCACCAUUUUGGAUUCUUAGCAUUCCAUCUGAAGAUAUUGCAAGAAAUUUAAUGAAACGGACAGUGUGUGCCAAGUCUAUAUUUGAACUGUGGGGUCAUGGACAAUCUCCUGAGGAGCUGUACAGUUCUCUUAAAAAUUACCCUGUGGAGAAGAUGGUUCCAUUUCUACAUUCAGACUCUACAUAUAAAAUAAAGAUUCACACUUUUAAUAAGACAUUGACACAAGAAGAGAAAAUCAAGCGAAUAGAUGCACUUGAAUUUCUGCCAUUUGAAGGAAAAGUGAAUUUAAAGAAACCACAACAUGUAUUCUCUGUUUUGGAGGAUUAUGGUUUGGACCCAAACUGCAUCCCUGAGAAUCCACAUAAUAUUUAUUUUGGUAGAUGGAUUGCAGAUGGACAGAGAGAGCUUAUUGAGUCAUACAGUGUCAAAAAAAGACACUUUAUUGGAAAUACAAGUAUGGAUGCUGGUUUGUCAUUCAUUAUGGCUAACCACGGAAAAGUGAAAGAAAAUGAUAUUGUCUUUGAUCCAUUUGUUGGAACAGGUGGCCUCCUGAUAGCAUGUGCUCAUUUUGGUGCAUAUGUGUAUGGGACAGACAUAGACUACAACACAGUUCAUGGCUUGGGAAAGGCUACUAGGAAAAACCAGAAAUGGAGAGGACCAGAUGAAAACAUUAGGGCCAAUCUUCGUCAAUAUGGUUUAGAGAAGCAUUACCUUGAUGUCCUGGUUUCAGAUGCAUCUAAACCUUCCUGGAGGAAGGGCACAUAUUUUGAUGCAAUCAUUACUGAUCCUCCAUAUGGUAUCAGAGAAUCUACAAGAAGAACAGGUUCACAGAAGGAGAUACCAAAGGGGAUAGAAAAAUGGGAAAAAUGUCCAGAAAGCCAUGUUCCUGUUUCCUUGAGUUAUCGUCUGAGUGAUAUGUUUCUUGACCUGUUAAACUUCGCAGCUGAGACCCUCGUGUUAGGUGGAAGACUAGUCUAUUGGUUACCGGUGUAUACGCCAGAAUACACUGAAGAGAUGGUGCCUUGGCACCCUUGCCUGGAACUCAUUAGCAACUGUGAGCAGAAGCUUUCCAGUCACACAUCAAGGCGCUUGAUCACAAUGGAAAAGGUGAAGAAAUUUGAGAAUCGGGACCAGUAUUCACAUCUGCUAAGUGAUCAUUUUCUGCCAUACCAAGGUCAUAAUUCCUUCCGUGAGAAAUAUUUUAGUGGGGUAACAAAAAGAAUUGCCAAGGAAGAAAAAUCCACCCAGGAAUGAAAAUUAAGAUUUUGACAAUGAAGAAAGAAUAAGAAUUGAUUUAAAAAGACAUCUGGAUGUGAACUUUCAUGUAUGAUCCAGAAAAUAGAGAUUGAAAAGGAAAGCAGUCAGACUCCUGAGUUGAUUUUUGAGACUGGAAUGAGAGAAGAAGUGGAUGUGGGUCUGGAAGAGCUGGGCACCUGUACCAGACUGGGUGUGGAGCCUGGUAGGUAAAACCCGACCUGAACAAGCUUGAGCAAGAAAAUUUGCUACAAGGAAUGUGCUCUAUGGAUUUGCUACAAGGAAUGUGCUGUCACAUACCCUGAGGACAGGAAUAUGGCUAAGCCUUAAGUAUAUCAUCCCAGUAAGCUGUGGCCAGGCUGAACUUGUGCUAUACAACGGCAGGCCCCAACCUUUUCGGCACCAGGGGCCAGUUUUGUGGAAGAUGAUGAAACCAAUGUGCAGAGAGGUUAUGCAGUUCGCCCAAGGACACACAGCUGGUAAGUUGUAGAGAUGGAAUUCAAGCCUUUCCUCCACAUCCUCUUCUUAUAGACUUCAGUUCUUAAAAUAAAUCAACUCAGUUGUUCAGGUCUUUUUCACUUAUUUGAAGGAAACAACAUUCUGGAUUAAUUUCAAGUGAAAAUACCCUGGAGGCACACUGAAUUUUCAGACGUGGACAGCUGAUCAUCUGAGGAAGCUGCUGCAUUUCCAGUUCUCUUUUGGUUGGGAGAAAGGCGAUUCUUCAUGCUCCUCUGUUCUUUUGAUUUCCUAUUGGCAUCUCCGUUUCCCUCCAUACCUUUCAACAUUCAAGCCAGAUGCCAAUUGUCUGUGUGAAAACACACUGCAUCUCAAAUAUACCAAGAUGCCAUAAUAUUUGACCAUAUGUGAAUAUUCCAGUAAACUCCUGGGACUUAUGUUCCAGUGUCAGUGCUGAACAACAGGAAGACUGUAGAUACCAUCAGCUAACCAGAAGACUCACAUAUGCCUCAUGUUUAUAAAUGCCAGAUAGAUGUAGUACGUUCUAAAUUUGAAUUUUUGGUGCAAGAGAGGGGAUGGGUGCUCUCUCCAUGGAGGCAGUGCAGCUUGCAAACAUACAAAUGGAUGGGACCUCCUCAGGUUGCUGCUGAUCAUGGCAAUUAAUUAUUGUGGAGAGACUUGCAAACAAGAAACAUCUCUUGAGAUGAACUCUGAAAGAAAAGAAGAAAAGAAUGUGUCCAUGGUAGCCAACAGCUAUAUUAAAUAAAAUAAAGUUUGAACUAACUAUAUUAACUGGGCCAGAAAAAUUCCCCUGAAGCUGGACAGGGUGGGAUUAAAUUCUGAAACCUUAAGCAAAACACUUCAAAGGACAUAGGAUGAAUUUUGAGCAAUAUCUUUAUCUUUGCCACCCCCCACAGUCCCCAGCCUCCUGCGAUGCUGGCCUCGUCGUUGAAAAACACAAAAGCAAACCACUUCAGGAGGAUUUACUAGAUGCCAAGCUUUGUUUUGGACCUGGUGAGAGUUAAGAAGAUGAAAUCAACAAGCCCUUUGUUCUCGAGUUGCCCAGUGAUUUAGUAUGAGAAUCUUUAUUGUCAUAAAAGUGCCUAACAAUGCUAGGCAGGAAGGCAGGAAGCAGGAACUGAAGGCAACGUGUCCUUGGAAUGGCCCAGAGAAGAGACUGAGACUCUUAGCUUGACUCUGAGCUGACUUAAAGGGUCUGGUAUAAUGGCAGUUCUUUUACUGAACUGCACUCUCUUCUAGUAAGUAUAAAAAAGUUCUAUUGGCAAUAAUAAUAGCAAACAAGUAUCAGGUUCUUACUGUGCUAAGCACUUUAAUUCUGUUAUUGGACUUUCAAAACAACUUAUGGAGGAUGAUACCAUUACUUUUCCUGUAUUACAGCAGAGGGAACUGAGGUUUAGAGAGAGAAAAUAAUUUGCCAAAGUCAUAUAAUUGUUGUCUUAUAUAAUUGUUCAUCCCAUGGAGAAUGGCAUUUUCAUUUCUACAGAGAUCAGAAUGUGUUAAUUGUUAUCUAUUUCCUGUCUCAAAUGUGUUACUCCUCAUCUCUGCCAAAGCAAGCUCUAUUUAUCCUGCAAGAACUGUGGAACUUCCUCUACUUCCAUCGUAAACUCUUCCUGGGACCCAGUGACCUCUCUUCCCACAGCAUACUUGGAGAAUUUAUGCCUGCCUCAUGUAUUUGGCAAUUGAUCAUAAAUGGUCCUAUGCUAAUUCUCAUUUGUUAUAUGAUAUUGUUUAAUUUUGUUUAAUCUUUCCAUCCAGAUUGUAAACUCCUUCUUGCUUCUAGCUUUGUCUAAAGGAUUAAAAGUGAGUCUUUUAUACUAUUCACCACAGUGCA